GAUGAACGCUGGCGGCGUGCCUAACACAUGCAAGUCGAACGAACAGACGCGGUCCUUGCCUCUCUGAUGUCAGCGGCGGACGUAAUACUAACAAACGGACACCCUACCUAUAGGACAGGGAUAACUUCGGGAACUCGGAGCUCAUACCGUCUAAGAUAUAGAACCGCAUGGCUCACUACUGAAAGUCGCCUUUGCCGUUUCUUAUAGACGGUUCCGCGCCGCAUUAGCUAGUUGGUAAGGUAACGGCUUACCAAGGCGACGAUGCGUAGCCGACCUGAGAGGAUGAUCGGCCACACUGGAACUGAGACACGGUCCAGACUCCUACGGGAGGCAGCAGUAGGGAAUCUUCCGCAAUGGGCGAAAGCCUGACGGAGCAACGCCGCGUGAGGGAUGAAGGUCUUCGGGUCGUAAACCGCUGUUAGUAGGAAAGAACAAGUGUGUGCGUAACUCUGCACGUAUUGACGGUACCUGCACAGAAAGCCACGGCUAACUACGUG
rnacentral:rRNA from 1 species